UAAUGAGUAGUUUAAGAGGAAAACGGUAGGUUGUGGUUCUAUAGAUAGGUUUAAAUCUCUCAUUAG
rnacentral:tRNA from 1 species